UACGGAGGAUCCGAGCGUUAUCCGGAUUUAUUGGGUUUAAAGGGUGCGCAGGCGGGAGAUUAAGUCGGCGGUGAAAUUUUGCAGCUCAACUGUAAAAGUGCCUUCGAUACUGGUUUCCUUGAGUGUGGAUGAAGUAGGCGGAAUUUGUGGUGUAGCGGUGAAAUGCAUAGAUAUCACGAGGAACUCCGAUUGCGCAGGCAGCUUACUAAACUACUACUGACGCUCAGGCACGAAGGCGUGGGGAUCAAACAGGAUUAGAUACCCU
rnacentral:rRNA from 1 species